GGGAGCCCCAGAAAAGCAGAAGAGUCUCGAGCAGUGGCCCGGGUCACCUAGGGCAUGGAGCUGGAGAACUAUGAACAACCUGUGGUUCUGAGAGAGGACAACCUCCGCAGGCGCCGGAGGAUGAAGCCACGCAGCGCAGCAGGCAGCCUGUCUUCCAUGGAGCUCAUCCCCAUUGAGUUCGUACUGCCCACCAGCCAGCGCAUCAGCAAGACACCGGAAACGGCCCUGCUGCAUGUGGCUGGCCACGGCAAUGUGGAGCAGAUGAAAGCUCAGGUGUGGUUACGCGCACUGGAGACCAGUGUGGCUGCGGAAUUCUACCACCGAUUAGGUCCGGACCAAUUCCUCCUCCUCUACCAGAAGAAGGGACAGUGGUAU
rnacentral:lncRNA from 1 species